UUUUCUGAUUUCAUAAAUUAAAAGAAAAAUAAAAGUAUUAUAAAACUGAGAAAGUUGACUGUUUUCUUCCUCCUUCUUCAUUCCUUCAUUUUCAUGGCAAACACAUGGCACACAUGCCUUCACUCUCUUCUUCUUCUUCUUCAGUCAGAAUCUGUCACCAAUCCCUCACCAUUGCUUCUUCAAGUUAACAAAUUCAGAUUAUUUACUUCACCAUCUCCCUCCCAACCACUGAUUUUAGGCUCCCAACCUCCCUUAUAAAUUGCCAUGGAGAUUCAAUACCAAGAAUACACCACCAACAACCUUCAUCCUCUCUUCUCUCACUAACCAGAAAUUCCUGUCAACAAAUUACCGAAAAUUGAAAUUGUAACUAAAAGAAAAACCCCAAAUUUUUACUCUCUCUCUCUCCUCUGUUUCGGUCCCCCCGCCCACGGAACACUCCCGUCGGCCACCUCAGGCGACGCCGGACCUGCGCUGCACCCCGUCGCACCUUCCCCUGGCCUCGCCGUCACUUGCCGGCCAUCCGUCGCACCGGCACGCCUUCGCUCUAUCUCCUCUUCGCUCUCUCUCACUCCUCUUCUUUUUCGCGCGACACUGCUGCACGCGCAGCACCACCGACGACCCGCGCGCGCCGAACCACCGGAAGCCAACGCCGGAUACGGACGCAGCUGCUCGGAGUCGCCGCCGUUAUCCGUUCGCCGGAGCUCUGCUCCGCUCCCCUGUUGUGCGGUUCAUCCCUGCUCAAUGAGCAGAGGUAUGGGAGAACAGUGUGGAUCACUAUUAUACUGCGUUAUGGAGAUUAUGUAUGAUUAUACGAGGUUUUAGGAUAUUUUGUAUAAUGGAUAAACAAGUAUUUAUUUUACAAUGAGUAAUUGUAUAGUGAAUUUGUAAUUUUAGGCUAUUAUUUUAUUUGUGUGCCAUAACC